rnacentral:lncRNA from 1 species
CAGUCCACCCCUGGCUGGUUUCUGCUUCCACCUGCUGAUCUCACAGAGGUGAUAACAGUGAUGAAACAAAAUCUUCAAACCACAGCACACAAGUCUCACCCCUGCAUCAUAUGCCAUUCUGCCUCUCCAAGGAUGUCAACACAUCAACUGCAAGCUAUUUGGCAUAUGAAGGUCUUGACCUGAGAAAACCAUCUUGGAUAACCGCAGCAAGGAAAAGGAAAAAUGCAACACCUAGGAGAUUUCAGUAAACAGUAGAAUCAUGCCAACCUAAUCUGUGUUAAAAUGCUUGGAAUGUGGGAGCCGCUGAUGAUGCCUCUUGUCUGUGUGUCUGACUGAAUCCUUUCUUUUCUCAGAGCAGCAAAGCAAAGCCUGGGAACCAGGCCAAAUGCCUGCCACUUACCUUAAAUUGAUCAGCCACUUUGAGAUUAAAACCCCUGAAAGCUGCCACACCGUGAAAACAAGGCCUCCUUCACAUUAAAGGCAAAUUGCGACUUUG